GGGGCAGCCCUAUGGGGUCAAGGACAGUGGCACGAUGACCCAGAGGGGCCCUUGGUGGACCCAGGGAACCUGACCACCGCCUGGAAACUUUGAGGUCACAGUGCUUUGGAGCACAUGUCAUAAGAGGCCCUUUCAGUACCACUUAUCCCUGCCACCCGGGUAAGGGAGGUGUGGGAAUGUCAGUCCUCACCACCCACUCCUUCUAGGCAGAUGCUCCCAAUGCCCCUCCACCCAGCCCCAAGGCCCAGCUGCAUGGCUGGAGUUUUCAUGAGCAAGUUUCACCUGCCUCCAGUCCUCCUAAGUGGUCCUUCCAGCACCUCCCACGGGUCUCCCCAGCCAUCCUGCACCCCCCACACCAACCACAUCACUAUUCAUGCAUUCUUGGUAAAUCCCUGGUACAAACUAAUCUGGACCAACAUUUCUAGAGAAGCCCUGUGAUUACUUCACUUCUGUGUUAAAAUCCUCCAUUUGCUCCUCUCACCCACUACAAACCCCCAAGUCCUCCAGCUGGAAAUGGCUUCCAAAAUCCAGCUGCGAUGGGAAGGGUGAGCCGGACUCCUCCCCUUCCCCAGCUGCUCAUCCUUGAGCAAGACACUUCAACAAUUGAGCCUUGGUUUCCUCAUCUGUGAAAUGGGGAUGAUAAACCAAAAUUAAAAUUCUAAGGCCCCCAACCAUCUGAAUGAACCCCUCCUCUCAGCAAGGCUAUGGAUAGCAAUUUGGAAUCUCAUCAGUGCCAAAUCUAAUCCGAAAAACUAAUUCAGGCCAUGAUGGGAAGGGUGGGGGGUUGGACAUACCUAAUUCUACCCUCCUCCCCUUUGGAAUUAUUGAUAGACCCUUUAAGUUAAGAAACAUUUACAAUCUAUUCUCUCCAAAGCCUGCUGCCUGGAGGCUUCGCCUGCAUAAUAAAACCUUGGUCUCCACAACCACUUAUCUUAACCCAGACAUUUCUAAGUCUUUAGACAAUAACUUAACUCUUUCAACCAAUUGCCAAUCAGAAAAUCUUUGAAUCUACCUAUGGCCUGGAAGUCAUCCCCCCUUCCAGUUGUCCUGCCUUUCUGGACCAAACCAAUGUACAUCUUACAUGUAGUUGAUGUCUCAUGUCUCCCUAAUAUGUAUAAAACUAAGCUGUACCCCAACCACCUUGGGCACAUGUUCUCAGGAUCUCCUGAGGGCUGAGUCAUGGGCCAGUGGCCACU
rnacentral:lncRNA from 1 species